GACGUAGGGCGCGAGCGUUGUCCGGAUUUAUUGGGCGUAAAGAGCUCGUAGGCGGCUUGUUGCGUCGACUGUGAAAACCCGCGGCUUAACCGCGGGCUUGCAGUUGAUACGGGCAGGCUAGAGUUCGGUAGGGGAGACUGGAAUUCCUGGUGUAGCGGUGAAAUGCGCAGAUAUCAGGAGGUACACCGGUGGCGAAGGCGGGUCUCUGGGCCGAUACUGACGCUGAGGAGCGAAAGCGUGGGGAGCGAACAGG
rnacentral:rRNA from 1 species